rnacentral:rRNA from 1 species
GACGAACGCUGGCGGCGUGCUUAACACAUGCAAGUCGAACGACGAAGAAAAGAAUUGAAGCUUCGGCAGAGAUUCAUUUCGGAUUAGUGGCAGACGGGUGAGUAACGCGUGAGCAACCUACCUCUUACAAAGGGAUAGCCUCGGGAAACCGGGAUUAAUACCAUAUAACAUUGCGACGAAGCAUUUCGAUGCAAUCAAAGCUACGGCGGUAAGAGAUGGGCUCGCGUCCCAUUAACCAGAUGGUGAGGUAACGGCUCACCAUAGUAACGAUGGGUAACCGGCCUGAGAGGGUGAACGGUCACACUGGAACUGAGACACGGUCCAGACUCCUACGGGAGGCAGCAGUGGGGAAUAUUGCACAAUGGAGGGAACUCUGAUGCAGCGACGCCGCGUGAGUGAUGAAGGAAUUCGUUUCGUAAAACUCUGUUCUAUGGGAAGAAAAGGACUGUACCAUAGGAGAAAGCUCCGGCUAAAUACGUGCCAGCAGCCGCGGUAAUACGUAUGGAGCGAGCGUUGUCCGGAAUUAUUGGGCGUAAAGGGUACGUAGGCGGUUUUUUAAGUCAGGUGUGAAAGCGUGAGGCUUAACCUCAUUAAGCACUUGAAACUGGAAGACUUGAGUGAAGGAGAGGAAAGUGGAAUUCCUAGUGUAGCGGUGAAAUGCGUAGAUAUUAGGAGGAAUACCGGUGGCGAAGGCGACUUUCUGGACUUUUACUGACGCUCAGGUACGAAAGCGUGGGGAGCAAACAGG